rnacentral:rRNA from 1 species
UACGGAGGGUGCAAGCGUUAUCCGGAUUCACUGGGUUUAAAGGGUGCGUAGGUGGGUCUGUAAGUCAGUGGUGAAAUCCCCGAGCUUAACUUGGGAACUGCCGUUGAUACUAUAGAUCUUGAAUAUCGUGGAGGUAAGCGGAAUAUGUCAUGUAGCGGUGAAAUGCUUAGAUAUGACAUAGAACACCAAUUGCGAAGGCAGCUUACUACACGAUCAUUGUCACUGAGGCACGAAAGCGUGGGGAGCGAACGGG